UGGGCGGCGGAAGUCGUCACUCAAAAGGUCGGAGCCUCCCGCCGUGGAUCCGGCAACUAGCUCGCCAUGGCGAUGGAUGGCGGCGGCGGCGGCGGCGUCUCUGGGCAGGAGGAGUCGGUGCUGUUCCGGCGGGGCACAGGGCAGGCUUUAUUCUUUAGGGACCCCAUUUGUACAUACAGGCAUACCUCAGUGAUAUUGCUUGUUCUGUUCCAGACC
rnacentral:lncRNA from 1 species